ensembl:lincRNA Gm3279 predicted gene 3279
GGUUCUUCUUCCCAGAAGCACAGUUCAUCAUUUUCCCCUACAGAAGAAUUUACAAAGACUGGAGAGAACAAGACAGGGAGGACCAUGGAUCACUGAAGGCCUUAGGGAUGGAAAGGAGACACAAGCAACACAACACAGUGGGUGCUAUAACAUGAGAAAUUUAUUUCUCGUGGUUGAUGGACUAGAAAGUCAAAGGUCAGGUCGAAGUUGACUCGUCCCCAGUGAAGGCUCUUCAUCUCCCUGGUUGGAAGAGAGGUGCCAUCUCUCUGUAUGUGCAUAAGACCUUUCAUCUCAUCCUGUGUGGGAAGAGAAGCAGAGGGGAAAGAAGAAAGAAGAAACAAGAAAGAGGAGAGAUAGUCUCCUAUAAGGCUGCUAAGAAGGCCCUGUCAUCAUCUCAUGGAUUCUCAGUCACUCCCUAGAGCCCCCAUUGGAAAAGUGAUGGCAGCUUCAGCACAGGCUCUCGAGGGGACUCAACCAUCCAUACAGGAGCCACUUACAUUUUACAAAUGUUGGGUGAUGCUCUGCUUGCUUCCUUCAGUGACCAGUUUCACUGGCAUUACUGAAUCUAAGCAAUGUAUUUUAAAAGAGACAUGUUUUCUUUGUGUGCAUAACUCACAUAGAGAUAUAUAUGUUCAUACAUAGAUGACUAUAUAAAUAUGUGAGUAAAUUAAUAAACUAUGAAAUGUAUCUAUACAUUAAUAAAUAGGGCUUAUUGGAAAUAGCUGUCAGAAAAAUCUAGGAAUAUUAUUCAAGAAGAUUUCAAAUAGAAAUGGAAAAUGUAAGAUAAUAUCUUGCUAUAUUGAAAAGUAUAUUUAUAUUAUUCUUUGUCUCAAGUAAAGGAGGUUUCUCUUGUUUUGUUUUGUUUUUUAAGGUUUCUUUCCAAUUCCUCUGAAACUAGAAUUACAGUCAGUUGUGAGCCACUUGGCAUGGGUGCUGGGAACCAAACUUAGAUACUCUGGAAGAGCAGCAAGAGUUCUUUACUGCUGAGCCAUCUUCAGCCCAGAAGGGCAGACUCUUCAAACCAUUUUUUGAAAUAUAUGGACACACACGUUUUGUCUGCUAAUUCAUCUGUUUAAUAUAUUUUGUUGUUUU